rnacentral:rRNA from 1 species
GGUUGUUUGAACCGCAUGGUUCAAACAUAAAAGGUGGCUUUGGCUACCACUUACAGAUGGACCCGCGGCGCAUUAGCUAGUUGGUGAGGUAACGGCUCACCAAGGCAACGAUGCGUAGCCGACCUGAGAGGGUGAUCGGCCACACUGGGACUGAGACACGGCCCAGACUCCUACGGGAGGCAGCAGUAGGGAAUCUUCCGCAAUGGACGAAAGUCUGACGGAGCAACGCCGCGUGAGUGAUGAAGGUUUUCGGAUCGUAAAGCUCUGUUGUUAGGGAAGAACAAGUACCGUUCGAAUAGGGCGGUACCUUGACGGUACCUAACCAGAAAGCCACGGCUAACUACGUGCCAGCAGCCGCGGUAAUACGUAGGUGGCAAGCGUUGUCCGGAAUUAUUGGGCGUAAAGGGCUCGCAGGCGGUUUCUUAAGUCUGAUGUGAAAGCCCCCGGCUCAACCGGGGAGGGUCAUUGGAAACUGGGGAACUUGAGUGCAGAAGAGGAGAGUGGAAUUCCACGUGUAGCGGUGAAAUGCGUAGAGAUGUGGAGGAACACCAGUGGCGAAGGCGACUCUCUGGUCUGUAACUGACGCUGAGGAGCGAAAGCGUGGGGAGCGAACAGGAUUAGAUACCCUGGUAGUCCACGCCGUAAACGAUGAGUGCUAAGUGUUAGGGGGUUUCCGCCCCUUAGUGCUGCAGCUAACGCAUUAAGCACUCCGCUGGGGAGUACGGUCGCAAGACU